rnacentral:rRNA from 1 species
GACGAACGCUGGCGGCGUGCCUAAUACAUGCAAGUCGAGCGGAUGAAAGAGGAGCUUGCUCCUCUAGAUUCAGCGGCGGACGGGUGAGUAACACGUGGGCAACCUGCCCUGUAGAUUGGGAUAACUCCGGGAAACCGGGGCUAAUACCGAAUAAUCCUUCGGACCUCAUGGUCCGAUGUUGAAAGACGGUUUCGGCUGUCACUACAGGAUGGGCCCGCGGCGCAUUAGCUAGUUGGUGAGGUAACGGCUCACCAAGGCCACGAUGCGUAGCCGACCUGAGAGGGUGAUCGGCCACACUGGGACAGAGACACGGCCCAGGCUCCUACGGGAGGCAGCAGUAGGGAAUCUUCCACAAUGGACGAAAGUCGGAUGGAGCAACGCCGCGUGAGUGAAGAAGGUUCUCGGAUCGUAAAACUCUGUUGUGAGGGAAGAACAAGUACCGGAGUAACUGCCGGUGCCUUGACGGUACCUCAUUAGAAAGCCACGGCUAACUACGUGCCAGCCGCCGCCGUAA